rnacentral:rRNA from 1 species
ACGGUUUCAGUUCAGAUUGCAGGCUGCAACUCGCCUGCAUGAAGUUGGAAUUGCUGUAAUCGCGAAUCAGAAUGUCGCGGUGAAUACGUUCCCGGGCCUUGUACACACCGCCCGUCACACCAUGAGAGUUGGGAAUACCCGAAGCCUGUGAGCUAACUAUUUAGAGGCAGCAGUCGAAGGUAGAAUCAAUGAUUGGGGUGAAGUCGUAACAAGGUACC